UGACUGCAGCCGCUACCAUGUGCCUGUGUUUAUCUAACCAAUAUACGGUUCUGCAUGUAUCAGUAUGCAUGUACCACGUGUACAGGUUGUAAAGCUGAAGAGACAAGGUUUUCCAGGGUAUAAUUACAUUGAAGUUGUGUAGCGUUAUUACAGUUAGUGGAAAAGCCCUGUGCUCUUGUUUGUUUGCUUGAUACGUUUAAUUUUGCAUCUAUAAGCCUCACUACAGCUCUUAAAUCACUUAAGUCAUUGGCCUAGAAAACAUCACUAGUGUCAAGAUUAGGCUUUACCACCUCCCCCUUCCUUGUGUUUUCUCUGUCAGUUUUGUCUGUCAUGUCAUGUCAUGUCUUGUCUGUGUGUUUGUGGGCGUUUCUGGCUGCGGCUGCUGGAUCGUCACCACCUGCAGAGUCUCGCACCUGUGGCUCAUGCCGUAAUCAACCCAUGCAGCGCAAUUGUCCGGCUCAUCUUACACUCCUCGCCAGUUUAUCUCCCGUGAUGUUCCCUGUGUGUAACUUCAGUCUGCCUGCCAGUCAGGCAGCCCAGAACUGAGCUCAAGGACGGAAUCGCAGAAUCUGGAGUUCUCUGCCCCAUCCCCAACCACCUGGUUUUCUCCGUGCACAUUGACAAUAAACCUGCCUGAGUUUUUGACACAUG